rnacentral:tRNA from 1 species
AAGGGGUUGAUUGAGUGGUACAAUAUCCUUCUUACACAUGGAAUGCCGCAGUUCGAUUCUGCGAUCCCUUA